AGAGAUUAGAACCUUAAUAAACUGGAAUUGAAAACAAUGUCACCGGAACAAGCUUGAAUGCUAAAUUGAAUGAAAAACAGAAAAGUAAAAUAUUUUCUAUCUGCUCUUAAAUUCUAAUAAUGAAGCGUUCCAAAUAAACUAACUAAAGCCAUCUAUUUAUAGGCUGAGAAAAUAUUUUUCUGUUAAUCCCUUGAUGUGUUUGCGUGCUAUUCUGAAGGAGGAGAUAAGCUUUGAUCGUGCCGCCCGUUACGAUAGUAGUGCGAUCUCCACAUGUUAAUCAUUUGCUAAUAAAUAGCACUUGGCGGCCAACAUGAUCUUUAUGGUACACGUCAUAUAUUGUUUGAUAAGUGUCUAAUCUAAUAAAACACGUGUGGUCACCAUGAUCUUUAUCCAUGCCAUAUAUUGGUGAAUUGGGCUGCUACAUUGUGACUUUUGUGGCCCAAUUGGGACUUGUUUGUUUUGGCCUUCACCUCCCUUUUUGNNNNNNNNNNNNNNNNNNNNNNNNNNNNNNNNNNUAAAUAGUGCAUUUUUCGGUGUUAUCAAACUCCCCUAAACUUGAACCAUUGCUUGUCCUCAAGCAAUUUAGCUUGCAUAUAGAAAACAUUUAAAAUACUAAGCAAUUCAUAAAUGUAGACUUAGAAAAACGAUACCACAAAUACUCAUAUGUGGUCAGAAAUUCAAAUCAGCUAAGAAUAAUUAAUUAGGUGCUUAUUCAAUCAAGAAGGGUAUUUCAACGACACACAAAGUUCUCCCUCUUAAACAUACCGAAUUCGGA
rnacentral:lncRNA from 1 species